rnacentral:rRNA from 1 species
UACGGAGGGAGCUAGCGUUGUUCGGAAUUACUGGGCGUAAAGCGCACGUAGGCGGCUUUGUAAGUCAGAGGUGAAAGCCUGGAGCUCAACUCCAGAAUUGCCUUUGAGACUGCAUCGCUUGAAUCCAGGAGAGGUGAGUGGAAUUCCGAGUGUAGAGGUGAAAUUCGUAGAUAUUCGGAAGAACACCAGUGGCGAAGGCGGCUCACUGGACUGGUAUUGGCGCUGAGGUGCGAAAGCGUGGGGAGCAAACAGG